rnacentral:rRNA from 1 species
GACGAACGCUGGCGGCGCGCUUAAUACAUGCAAGUCGAGCGAGAACCGGAGCUUCGGCUCCGGGGACAGCGGCGAACGGGUGAGUAACACGUGGAUAACCUGCCCUCGGCACCGGGAUAGCCCGGGGAAACCCGGAUUAAUACCGGAUGGCGCUUUCGCUCUUCGGAGCGGUAGGGCAAGGUAGCUUCGGCCUCCGGCCGAGGAUGGGUCCGCGGCGGAUUAGCUUGUUGGUGAGGGAACGGCUCACCAAGGCUCCGAUCCGUAGCUGGUCUGAGAGGACGAUCAGCCACACUGGGACUGAGACACGGCCCAGACUCCUACGGGAGGCAGCAGUAGGGAAUCUUGCGCAAUGGGCGAAAGCCUGACGCAGCGACGCCGCGUGCGGGAAGACGGCCUUCGGGUUGUAAACCGCUUUCAGGAGGGACGAAGCCACUCGGGUGAAUAGCCCAGAGGGUGACGGUACCUCCAGAAGAAGCCCCGGCUAACUACGUGCCAGCCGCCGCCGUAACAC